rnacentral:rRNA from 1 species
UAAAACAAUAAUCUUAGGUUAUUAACUCAAUAAACCAAAAUUAUUUAAGUACUGAAAAGGAAAACUUAAAAGUUAAAAGAAAAGCUUAAGGCUUGUUCCUUGUGUAUCAUGAUUUUUAGAACUAAUAAAUUAUUUAUCUAUCUCGAAAAAAAAGGAUCUAAAGAGCAUUGUGAUUAAUAUUUCAACAUUAUAAAAAAAAAUCUUUAGAAAUGAAAAAUUUACAACUUUUUAAUUAUCUAGUUAUUUUAGAAAUGAAUUAAAUUCACUUAAUUAUUUAAAACCUCAAUUAAAAAAUUUUUCAAGGGAUUAGCUUUGAAAAAAAUAAUAAACUAAUUUUUUAUUUUAAAAAAGGAAUUAAAUUAACCCAAAAAUUUAAAAAUUUUUAAAAAGUUAAAAGAAUUUUAAAAAAUUUAUGUAUUUAUAAAAAUAUAAAAAACAAAAAAUAUAAAAAAAAAUUAAAAAAUCAGUAAAUUCUAAAAAAUAAAUAAAGGAACUCGGCAAAACAGUUUUCGAAUGUUUAACAAAAACAUUGUCUCUCGAGUUUAUUUGAGAUAAAACCUGCUCAGUGAAUUUUUAAACAGCCAAUUGAUGCUAAGGUAGCAUAAUAAUUUGUCUUUUAAUUGAAGGCUAGAAUGAAAGGUAAAACGAAAAACUAACUUUCUUUAAUUUUCUUAAAUGAAGUUAACUUUUAAGUUAAAAGGCUUAAAUAACUUUAAAGGACGAUAAGACCCUAUAGAAUUUAAAAAUUUAAUUUUAUAACCUCUAAUUAAAUUAUUUUACUGGGGCAGUAAAAAAAUAAAAAUUUUUUUUUUUAACAACUAUUAAAAGAACUCUUGAUCCUUUUAAGAAAAAAAGAAAAAAUUACCUUAGGGAUAACAGAGUUAAACUUUUUCAGAGAUCCAAUCGAAAAAAGUAUUUGCUACCUCGAUGUUGAAUUAAGAAAAAUAUUAAUAGAAAAAAAUUAAUAAAUUAGGUCUGUUCGACCUUUAAUUUCUUACAUGAUUUGAGUUAAGACCGGCGUAAGCCAGGUUGGUUUCUAUCCUUAAUCCACUUUUUUUUGUAGUACGAAAGGACCCAAAAAAAUAAUUUUAUUAAU